AUGGGCGCGCUGCUGCAGGAGAGGGGGGGGGGGAUGGGGGGGGAGGAGGAGGAAGAGGAGGAGGAGGAGGAGGGGGACCCCCACGAGAGGCCGAGGGGCGCGCGGCAGCAGCUGAUGAAGACCAACACCCCCGGCCGCUGGCCGCACGGCGACCCCCGACCCCGGCAGUCACAUGACGGCAACAACGCCAAACACAAGCCGGGCGCUCUGCUGGGGGGGGGGCCGCCGUCGUACCCCCCCCACUCCGCCGCCCACCUCCACCCCCAGCACCACCCCAACGCCGCCCCGCACCACCAGGCCAUGCAGCGGGCCCCCUCCCUGCUGGCCCCGCCCUCGCAGGCCCCUCCCCCGCCCCCCCCGCCCCAGCUCUCCCUCCCCCUCCUCCACUACUCCAUGCAGCAGCUCUUCUCCCGCGCCCUCCCCCACCUGCCGCCCCCCUCCCACAAGGACUACCUGACCUCCGACCCCUUCCUGGACGCCUUCCCGGGACACCACCCGGGCUUCCCCCCCCUCCCUUUGAUGGGGCACCUGGAGCCCUCGAUGGGCCCCCGGCACCACCCCCACCCCCACCACCCCCACCCCCACCACGGCGGACCCCGGGGGAGGGACAGGGGCAUGAGGGGGGGAGGAGGGGGAGAACUCGGGGGAGGAGGGGGGAUGGACUGUGGGGACAUGUACCUGCCGCUGGGGGGAAUAUCCUUUCCUUUGAGAAGAGAGUGUGUGUGUGUGUGUGUGUGUGUGUGUGUGUGUGUGUGUGUGUGUGUGUGUGUGUGUGUGUGUGUGUGUGUGUGUGUCUGUGUGCGUGUGUGUGUGUGUGUGUGUGCGUGGGUGGGUGCACAGUGUGUGGGUGUUUGUGUGUGUGUGUGUGUGUGUGUGUGUGGGUGGGUGCACAUCAUGUGUGUGUGUGGGCGCAUGUGUGUGUGGGCGCAUGUGUUUCUGUGCGUGGGCAUAGUAAAUGUCUGUUUCGGAAACCAUCACAAAAUAAAAGAGAGAGCGAGUUGUUCAGAAAAUGAAGAGGAAAUGUAG
rnacentral:lncRNA from 1 species